CGGCAGCCGAAACCCUCCUCGGACGAGGGCUACUGGGACUGCAGCGUGUGCACCUUCCGGAAUAGCGCCGAGGCCUUCAAGUGCAUGAUGUGCGAUGUGAGGAAGGGCACCUCCACUCGUUUAUCAGCAUCUUUCUUGAAUUGUGGACACCAGAACUAGACACACUGCUAAAGCAGCAAGUACACCAAUGCAAAAUACAGAGAGUCACUGCUUCUCAUGAUAGAGUUUCCCAUCUUGUAAGUAUGGCCUACGUUCUUUGGUCCUAAAUGCAUACAUUUACAUUUAGCUAUAUUAAAAUGCAUGUUGUUUGCUUGCACUUAGUUUACCAAGCAAACUUGGUUGCCCUGUAUUACUGCCCUAUUACUAUUUCUCUUCCUUAUUUACCAUUCCCUAAUUUUGGACAUAUGAAGACUUUAUCAGUGACAAUUUUAUGCUCUCAUCCAGAUCAAGGUUGUGCUGAGUCCUGUUGAUGUAUCUGAAUAAUUUGUAAGUCAUCUGUUACUUUGGCAUUGAAGUGUAUUAAAAAUAUACUUGAUAAUUUACUCCUAGAUUUCUUGUAAGAGGACUGCUAUGGGUCCUAAUAAGCAUGCUAAUAAUUCUGGCUCUUCUGUGUGUUGUCCAUCACUCUUUAAUCUAAAUGGUAUGUUUUAAUUUAGUUCUUUAUUUAAAUUUGUGCAAGUGGGGUUAAUAAACCUGGUGUUCGCGUCACCAAUAGGCUGCUGAUGCUUAGCUCCUAUAUCUUGUUAUCUUCAGCUAUUCUCCUGUUGUAUGGUCUGAAAGAUACAGAGAUUUGUAUGAAUACCUGAGUAAAGUUUACUUUAGAUAAGACAGCUAUGACUACCAGUGGGAAGAAAGCUCCUCUAUCAUCUUCUAAUAGGAAACUUGACCAGCUUAUGUAAUUAUUUUUUUGAAAGAUUUUUGAAAGGGACCCCAUCAGCUAGGAAACUUCUCCAUCUUUCUGUCUUUCAUCUGAAAGCAAGAAACUUAUCCUUAAACUUUGCUAUUCCAUAGGUCUUGGAUCUUCCAUAAUUAGAUCACAAAGAUGAAUUAUUUUUUUCCAUUGGAAAAAGAGCAUCGGAAUCUAUCAUUCUCUUAAAAAGUAGAAUGGUCUGCUUAACAGGUUCAGUGAAAAAAAUUUGCUUACAAAUAUAGGGUCAGAUUGCCCUGUUACAAGCUCUUCUGCUCAAAGUAUAUCUGCUUGGGUGAGAGGAGGGACAGAGACGUUGAGGAGUGCUCCUUCUGUAGCAUCAUCAUCUCCUGACCCUUUAGAAAUUCCACACUGAGAGUUAAAGAGAAAGAAACAUUGUCCACAUUGCCUCCUCCUUCCUCUCUAGAAAAUUGAUGGCUGUUCAUACCUAAUAUUAACUCUGUGUGGCGCAAUAGAAAUUGUGCCUCUGAAGAUAAACUCUAUCCGUGUGUGUGUCUUUUGAGAGAGGUCAUGUUCCCAUCAGUCCUAGAGAUCUGGGGGAGUCUAAAAGACUAUACCAGCUGCCUGUUCUGCAAACCCCCAAAGACUUUGUUCUAAGGGGAUGUUUUGAUGAAAAUGGAGCUUUCUGACCCUUCCAGACCCCUUCCAUUUUGCCUCAUUUCCUAAUUAAUAGUCACGGCGUAGAUCUGUAUUUCUUCUUAUUUUUUUUUAACAAGUGUAUUCCAGUGUUUGUGAACCUAAGUUUCUUUAUAGUUAGAAAACAUAUGUGAAAUAUAAGCAUCACUUUGCUUUAUACCAAUGGACCAAACAAAAUGCUUCUGUGGGGGGAAAAAAUCAGUUGUAAUACUGAGCAACCACCAGUUUCUCCAAGUUGCUGUAUGAGAAAUUAAAAGCUUUAGCUAUGUUACUUUUUUUAACAUUAUCUUGCUGUUUUUUAAAAUAGAUCCACGAAUGUAAAUUUGAGUUCCCUAAAGCUGCUGAAAUUGAUAUUUCUUUCUCAGGUCUGGACUGCUUUGCAGUGUACCAGUCCCCCCUGCAGGAGGCUUGCUGGCCUCAUCUGUUAAAUGCCAUCUGGAAAAUAGGGCAGUAUGUGCUUUAAGGGAAUGAUUAAAUAGGGACACUGCCUCAAGGGGUAGUUUCCUGCACAUUUAUACAGUGACUGAUAAAACCAUAUGGGACCUGUAAGUCUAUUCUAAUUGAAUCUGCUUUUAUAGAAAGAAACAGUUGCUAGAAAUGUUAUAAACAAAUGAAUUCCAAGUAAAUAUUUCACACAACAAAAUAGCUAGGAAUCUUAAGGUACAGGAAAUCAGUUACUGUUGGAAUCUGUGGUGGUUUGGAGGUUAGAUUUUUUUUUUUAAGUGUAGUAAAUACAGGCUAACAAUGCAAUUUGUAUGUAUUAGGCGUUUCUACUAAGAGUUCCAUAGCACUAUUCAGGCCACUAGUUCCAUUGUUUGCAUUAUCAGGACUGUUGUAUAAUUUGCAUAAGCAAUGUGACUUGCCCUGAGCAAUAUGGCACAUGAUGGUAAUGGAAUAAAAAGGGAAGAAAAUCAUUUGGCUUAGUUAAGAGUAUCUUCAACAUGUAUUUAUUUACUUAUCAGGUCCUGAUAUAGAGCUACAGAAGACUAAUUUCUCACAAUAUGUCUGUGUGGUCAUGAUCAGCAAUGGUUCUGUAACACUGAAAAGUAAACCUAGUUUCACAUAUUUGGGUUUCUCAAACACUUUUAUGUUUGUGGGCUACAUCUUUUUAGGAAGAUUUAUCAUAGCCCAUCGUCCCUUCCAUCAGGAUCUGUAGACCACUUCUUUGCCUGCUGAUGAUUCAAUUCCUGUUGCAAUGAAAAUCAUUGUUUAUGUAGAAAGCAAUAUUACAUAAAAUACAUUUUUAAUUGUAGCAUCUUUCAGUAUGAUUUAGUGGACUGAAAUAAUGUGAGGUUCAUUGCAAAAGUUCUGUGAACCACAAUUUGAGAGCCAAUCUUUAAAAGAUUUUGAAUACUUAAUUCGUAUAUUACAUUGAAGCAGUCUCACAGGUCAGAAUGUUGGCAAUCUAGAAGAAAUUGUAAUUUUAAGUAGGGAUGUAAAAAGUCGUUUAACAAGGUAACUGUGUAACCGUUAAGAUUCUGAGCGGUUACGUAUGCUGUAGGCUCCGCAGUUUAUACUGCAGAACCCACAGCUAAGCCUCUCUAAGAGUGGGACCAUCAGUCCCUGCCAGUCCUGCUCCUGGGGAGGUGGCUUUGCUGUCACCAGUCCUGCUCCUGGAGGAGGAGGUUUUAUUGCUGAAACAGGGCUGUUCUUGCUCCCAGGGAGCCACAGCAUGUAACCUGUG